rnacentral:rRNA from 1 species
CCUACGGGCGGCAGCAGUGAGGAAUAUUGGUCAAUGGCCGGAAGGCUGAACCAGCCAUGCCGCGUGAAGGUCAGUGCCCUAUGGGCGUUAAACUUCUUUUGUGCGGGAGCAAUAAUGGUCACGUGUGGCCAGACGAGAGUACCGUACGAAUAAGCAUCGGCUAACUCCGUGCCAUCAGCCGCGGUAAUACGGGGGAUGCAAGCGUUAUCCGGAUUUAUUGGGUUUAAAGGGUGCGUAGGCUGUGAGGUAAGUCAGCGGUGAAAUGCCCCCGCUCAACGGGGUGAAGUGCCAUUGAUACUGCCUUGCUGGAAUGCGGAUGCCGUGGGAGGAAUGUGUGGUGUAGCGGUGACAUGCAUAGAUAUCACACAGAACACCGAUUGCGAAGGCAUCUCACGAAUCCGCGAUUGACGCUGAUGCACGAAAGCGUGGGUAUCAAACAGGAUUAGAUACCCCAGUAGUC